AGAGUUUGAUCAUGGCUCAGGAUGAACGCUAGCGGCAGGCUUAACACAUGCAAGUCGAGGGGCAGCACAGAUAGCAAUAUUGGGUGGCGACCGGCAAACGGGUGCGGAACACGUACGCAAUCUACCUUUAUCUGGGGCAUAGCCCGAAGAAAUUCGGAUUAACUCCCCAUAGUAUAUAUAAGUGGCAUCACUUGCAUAUUAAAACUCCGGUGGAUAAAGAUGAGCGUGCGUCCCAUUAGCUAGUUGGUAGGGUAACGGCCUACCAAGGCGACGAUGGGUAGCUGGUGUGAGAGCACGACCAGCCACACGGGCACUGAGACACGGGCCCGACUCCUACGGGAGGCAGCAGUGAGGAAUAUUGGUCAAUGGACGCAAGUCUGAACCAGCCAUGCCGCGUGAAGGAUGAAGGCCUUCUGGGUUGUAAACUCCUUUUAUUUGGGAAGAAAUCCAUACAUUCUUGUGUGGUUGACGGUACCAGAAGAAUAAGCACCGGCUAACUCCGUGCCAGCAGCCGCGGUAAUAC
rnacentral:rRNA from 1 species